rnacentral:rRNA from 1 species
CCUACGGGUGGCAGCAGUGGGGAAUAUUGGGCAAUGGGCGCAAGCCUGACCCAGCAACGCCGCGUGCAGGAAGAAGGCUUUCGGGUUGUAAACUUCUUUUGUCAGGGACGAAGCAAGUGACGGUACCUGACGAAUAAGCCACGGCUAACUACGUGCCAGCAGCCGCUGUAAUACGUAGGUGGCAAGCGUUAUCCGGAUUUACUGGGUGUAAAGGGCGUGUAGGCGGGACUGCAAGUCAGAGGUGAAAACCACGGGCUCAACCUGUGGCCUGCAUUUGAAACUGUAGUUCUUGAGUUUAGGAGAGGCAGGCGGAAUUCAUAGUGUAGCGGUGAAAUGCGUAGAUAUUAGGAGGAACACCAGUGGCGAAGGCGGCCUGCUGGACGACAACUGACGGUGAGGCGCGAAAGCGUGGGGAGCAAACAGGAUUAGAUACCCUUGUAGUC